rnacentral:RNase_P_RNA from 1 species
UCAGUCGGCCGGACGGCCGCUCCGGCAGGUGCCGAAAGGCCGCCGGGGAGGAAAGUCCGGGCUCCCUUGACAUGCGGUGCCGGAUAACGUCCGGCGGGGGUGACCCCAGGGAAAGUGCCACAGAGAACGAACCGCUUCCUCUGCGGAGGAAGUAAGGGUGAAAAGGUGCGGUAAGAGCGCACCGCGGUUCCGGCAACGGAGCCGGCAGGGCAAACCCCACCGGGAGCAAAACCGAAUAGGGACGGCUUAAGCGGGCUGUUCGCGAAAGCGAUAACGCCGCGGGGCGAUGUCAGGCCCGCCGUCCGGGUAGGUUGCUCGAGGCCGUGUGCAAACAUGGUCCCAGAGGAAUGGCCGUCACGUAUCGUUCGCGCAAGCGGACGGUGCCCUACAGAACCCGGCUUACAGGCCGGCUGAUGUU